rnacentral:piRNA from 1 species
GACUCAGCCAAUUAGAGAGAUGUUGAC